rnacentral:rRNA from 1 species
CGCGUAGGUGGUAGUGCAAGUCUGGGGUGGAAUCCCAGGGCUUAACCCUGGAACUGCCUUGGAAACUGUAUUACUUGAGUCAGUGAGGGGAGGGUAGAAUUCCUGGUGUAGCGGUGAAAUGCGUAGAUAUCAGGAGGAAGGCCCGUGGCGAAGGCGGCCCUCUGGCGCUGAACUGACACUGAGGCGCGAAAGCGUGGGUAGCAAACAGGAUUAGAUACCCUGGUAGUCCACGCCCUAAACGGUGGGUACUAGGUGUGGGGCUCGUAAGGGUUCUGUGCCGAAGCGAAAGCAUUAAGUACCCCGCCUGGGGAGUACGGCCGCAAGGUUGAA